UACGAAGGGUGCAAGCGUUACUCGGAAUUACUGGGCGUAAAGCGUGCGUAGGUGGUGAGUUAAGUCUGUCGUGAAAGCCCCGGGCUCAACCUGGGAACUGCGUCCGAGACUGGCGGGCUUGAAUCCGGGAGAGGGAUGCGGAAUUCCAGGUGUAGCGGUGAAAUGCGUAGAUAUCUGGAGGAACACCGGUGGCGAAGGCGGCAUCCUGGACCGGUAUUGACGCUGAGGCGCGAAAGCUAGGGGAGCAAACGGG
rnacentral:rRNA from 1 species